rnacentral:lncRNA from 1 species
AGAGAUACACGUCACAGAAGAACCGCAAGACACCCUUACACUGGUAUUCCGAAAAUUUUCGUUCUCCUCCUUCCAUGCUCUAAUUCUUGUAUUUCAAUAUCGUCGGUGAUUAAUUGUACCCUGCAAGAUGUGAAUUCAAACUGUAGAACUGGAAUAACCAAUGAAAUAAGUUUCCAUAUACCAAAAGAUUCAUCCAUUAAAUGUAGAGGUAAAAGUACAGUAACUAUCAGAAUGUAUAGUUUUGAAGUUUCCAAAGAAAAAAAUAUGUAAGAAAAUAAAUGAAAUGAGGUAAGCUUUUAGGGAAAUAUAUAAGUAAAAGGUAUCAAUUAUCCUCAUCACUAAAUGUUUUCGUUGAACCUCAGCUUGUGAUAAAACAAACGGUUUACCCUUUAUUAAGACCACCGGGUUAGUAAAGCAUAGAACUAUUAAUAGAUGCAAAAGUAUUGCAUUCUUAGAGGCUAUUAAAGCAUAAAACCAUUAAUAAGUCUUUAAAAGAUUAGAUAUCCGGCCAAUGUAAUAUCAAUGCAGCCCGACCAUUUUUUUCUUAUUACAGUUAAUAAUCACUAAAAAAUACGAAUGACACAGUAUUUUAUUCUAUAAUGAAAAAUAACAGGAACCCACAAAUAGGUACAUCCAAGUAAUAAUUUUGCUAUAGCAACGAGAAAAAUAUAGGCAAAUAAUUAAUGAUGAUUAGACGUCGCCUAUGGGGAUUAUGGCCAAAAGCAACAGAAGUCUCAGUUGAAACAGUUCAAAUUUUGGGAAAAUUGUACAUAUAAAUAUAGUUUUUCUCUGCACCACAAAAUGAAACCAUCCUAAAUAUAUUUACAUAAGAUGGAAAGUUAUACCCAAUUUAUAAGUCUGUAAAUGGAAAUACGCACAGUUUAUCUUCGCAGUUCGGUGGUCACCAUCAACUGCAAAAUGAGUCCUCAAGCCUCCAUCUUUUUCUACUGAAAUUUACAACAGCCCUAACUGUUCCAUCAAAUUAGAAACAAAAAGCUAAAGCAAGGAAAUAGAACAAAGAAAUUGGGGAGCUAAGAAAUGUCAUGAAUGCAGGAAAUUUUAGAGAACUAACAAUUUUAGAGAACUUGGUUGGUCAACUUAUAAUUAUGAAAAGAAAAAAAAUAUGGUUAUUUUUAAAGUUUGGAAACUGCUACACUCAUAGCUUGAAUAAAGUUCUCUAUAAUACCUGCAGCCAGUAUUUAACCAUCUCACAGGCAAGUCUUGUACUGUCAAUAGCAAGUCUGAGCUGAAUCUCAACAACCUAUUGAAGAGAGAACACUGAGGUAGACUAAGAAAAUUAGCAAGUAACUGUAUUUUUCAAGAAGAUUAGAAAGAACAUUGGCAACAAGCUAAGAGCAUAUGAAAUAACUUGUACAAAGAGUGUCCGAAUGUAGAGAAGAUUCGAAACCAAAAAAAUUCAUACCUUGGCUUUCUUUACGUAUUUGUCCCUCUCUUCUACAAUUGUUAUCCCAUGAAUGCGCCUCAUAUCUGCAUAGUCCACCUGUACAUCCCCCCCUAAUGCAUUCUAUACCCUAAUGCAUUCUAUAUACAAAUAUUGAGAGAGAGAGAGAGAGAGAGAGAGAGAGAGAGAGAGAGAGAGAGAGAGAGAGAGAGAGAGAGAGAGAAGGCAAAUGCUACAAGUACACAGCACCUCCUCUGUAACCUUUAUGUCCAACAUAAUUACAGAGAUAAUAAGAAAAAACAAUAGAAAAGAGAAAAUCAAAAAAUGAAAAUGAGAACUACAAAAGAUAUACCUUCAUUGCAAAGGAGGACGAAGACACGCAACGAAAUCGCAAUUUAUAUAAUGUAGUGUAGUGAUGAGAUAAAGAGUCUUUGACUCAACUAUUUUAAAAUAAAUGGAGAGCUGAACAGAAUUGUGGUCAACAACAGAAGAAGCAAUUAUUGCACAGAAGAAAUCCUAUGCUGAACAAGUAUUAAAUUUAAACUCGGUCUCUAUGUUGGCAAAUUGACCAACAUUUUCCGAGAAAAUUGACUGCAGGAUCACCAAUUCAUUUUUACCAAUCUUUCCGUGCCAUGCACGUUCAAAUAUUUCAUCGCUGCAUACCAUGCAUAGGCCUUUUCGUUUCAGGCUAGUCUAUUUCCUUGGUGGAAACAUGCAUACAAGUGUUUCCAAAGCACACAGGCCAAAGAAUUUAUGAAAUACACGGGUCAGAUCUGGGUCAAUGAUAUUAUGAACGCCACGAACCAAAAUGUUGAUUAUGAUUAUUAUAUUGUCGUUCCAUCAGCAGCGAAGAAACUAACAAUUAACAAAUAGUUCGAUUUAAGUUUCACAAAGUUUUUUUGCCAAUUAUCAUAUAUCUGAAUUCACCAAAAGCUUCUGUAAUUGCCGAAGUAUAUGUGGCGAUGGUGCCCGAAUAGUUAGCGUCGAUGUUAGAACCUAUUUUUUUUGCAAAGGCCGUAAUCCUUUGCAUUAAAAUAAAAAAAUAUUUAUAUUUCAUUUAUAGCGUCUGAUUUCAAGGCCAUUACUCUUUUUUUUUGUAGCAGCCAAUUGCACCAAUAAUUAAAGAAAAAAGUCGUAUUGAACAAUCUAGAAUAUAAAAAUUAUGUACAACAAAUAAUCAAAUCAAUUGUACAUAUGUUCAAUUGAAUUCAAUUUAAAAAAAAUGAUGGUGGGCAAAAUUACCUUUUUCCACCUGUCCUUUCGCUUGUCGGACUUUAAGCUCCGGUUAGAAACUGAUGAAGAAGGAUUGAGGUGAGAAGCAUAAAUUUUUAAUUUAUUGGCUUUACAAACAUAAAUUUAUACUAAAAGUAUUAUUCUUCUAGCUGGUUCCAACAACAUACACCAAUAACAAAGGUCAUAUAGUUCAGACAAAUCAUUUCUUACAUUUCUUAUAUGUUGAGGAUUACUGGAGCUCAGGAGGACCAGUUCAGAACUCUUAUCGGAGUUCUUUUUUUCCUUUAUUAAAUUUUCAGAAAAAGACAUGUAACACAAUAGUAGAACUUGACAAAUUAACCGGCACUUAUUUUACUCAUAUAUAAUAUACUACCAGAUUUAAUUUUUAAUAGGAAUUUAAAUAGUACAUAUGUUUAAUUGUAACUGAACACACAAACAAUGGUAUCUUAACCAUAACUAAAAGUAUCUACAGAAAAUUUAUAAAUAAAUAUAAAAACAAUACAGCUACUCAUUUAAACACAUAAAGAGUUCUAGAAAAAAAA